CUUGGUUUGGUUCGUCCCGUUUAACUUUUCCUAUAGUUAUAAUCUAAUAAAUGAUGGCCAAAAAUUAUCUAAGACAAUUUCUACCUGGUUUGAUGGAUGUGUUCUUCUUAACUAAGGGCACUUUUAGUAAACAUGAAAGACUUAUACCAAUAGCUGAAAGAUUUGGCUUGGACCCAGGAGCUGUCCUCGACAAAAGCUAGUACUUUUCCAUAUUAUAUCAAUUGAACUAGUGAUACAAUUACUGCUACUAGCCAUCUUAUUUUCUUUUUCUGUGACUGCAAGAUUGUUUAUGCUCGUGCAUAUACAUAUGAGCAUCAGUAUAAUAUGCUUUUUGGUCUAGCUGCAAAAAUGGCUAAAGAGCCAUUAAGACUUCUGGUAAAGACUUUUGCCAUCCAAACCUCUCUUAUAAUAUAAAAUGACCUGGAUGAUUAGUAUGCUCAUGUUUCAGGUUAUGGAUUCGGUGAUUUCUCUCUUUCGAGUGGAUGUUACUGGAAGAGGAGAACUUGGAGAUCGCCAGCAAAAACUUGCACAUAUGCUUUCCCUUUUAAUAAAGAUUGCUGAGGAAUUCAAUGUUGCUGUCCACAUGACAAACUACGUCCAAGUAGAUAGAUAGUUCCAAAGAUGAAAAUGUUGGCUCACUAUGCAAAAGAGGAAGAUGAUGAUGAAGUCCAGUAAGUUCAUUCUUUGUUUAUGUGAUAUAUAUUAGCUGUGUUCAUAUCAUUUUUUUUUCUUUCUCAUCCCCAAAUCAGUUCUACUUCUUUGGCUUUGCAGCAAC